CCUACGGGAGACUGCAGUGGGGAAUAUUGCACAAUGGGGGAAACCCUGAUGCAGCGACGCCGCGUGAGUGAAGAAGUACCUCGGUAUGGAAAACUCUAUCAGCCGGGAAGCAAAAAGACGGUAGCUGACUACGAAGCCCCGGCUAACUACGUGCCAGCAGACGCGGUAAUACGUAGGGUGCAAGCGUUAUCCGGAUGUACUGGGUGUAAAGGGAGCGUAGACGGUAUGGCAAGUCUGAAGUGAAAGCCCAGGGCUUAACACGGGGAUUGCUUUGGAAACUGUUAGACGAGAGGGCAGUAGAGGGAAGGGGAAUUCCGAGGGUAGCGGUGAAAUGCGUAGAUAGUAGGAGGAACAGCAGUGGCGAAGGCGGCUUACUGGACAGUAACUGACGUUGAGGCUCGAAAGCGUGGGGAGCAAACAGGAGUAGAUACCCGAGUAGUC
rnacentral:rRNA from 1 species